rnacentral:rRNA from 1 species
UACGGGGGGGGCAAGCGUUGUUCGGAUUUACUGGGCGUAAAGGGCGCGUAGGCGGUCGUGACAAGUCACUUGUGAAAUCUCCGGGCUUAACUCGGAACGGUCAAGUGAUACUGUCGGACUAGAGUACAGAAGGGGCAACUGGAAUUCCCGGUGUAGCGGUGAAAUGCGCAGAUAUCGGGAGGAACACCGGUGGCGAAGGCGGUUCUCUGGGCCUUACCUGACGCUGAGGAGCGAAAGCGUGGGGAGCGAACAGG